rnacentral:rRNA from 1 species
CACAUGCAAGUCGAGGGAGAGGUUACCUUCGGGUAACUGAAACCGGCGCACGGGUGCGUCAACGCGUAUACAAUCUGCCUUUCACAUAGGGAUAGCCCGAAGAAAUUUGGAUUAAUACCUAAUGGUAUAUAAGAGCGGCAUCGUUUUUAUAUUAGAGCUACGGUGGUGAAAGAUGAGUAUGCGUUCUAUUAGCUAGUUGGAGAGGUAACGGCUCCCCAAGGCGACGAUAGAUAGGGGUUCUGAGAGGGAUGUCCCCCACACUGGUACUGAGAUACGGACCAGACUCCUACGGGAGGCAGCAGUGAGGAAUAUUGGACAAUGGUCGGAAGACUGAUCCAGCCAUGCCGCGUGCAGGAUGAAGGUCCUAUGGAUUGUAAACUGCUUUUGUAAGGGAAGAAUAAGGGGUACGUGUACUUUGAUGACGGUACCUUACGAAUAAGCAUCGGCUAACUCCGUGCCAGCAGCCGCGGUAAUACGGAGGAUGCGAGCGUUAUCCGGAAUCAUUGGGUUUAAAGGGUCCGUAGGCGGGCUGAUAAGUCAGAGGUGAAAGCGCUUAGCUCAACUAAGCAACUGCCUUUGAAACUGUCAGUCUUGAAUGAUUGUGAAGUAGUUGGAAUGUGUAGUGUAGCGGUGAAAUGCUUAGAUAUUACACAGAACACCGAUAGCGAAGGCAUAUUACUAACAAUUUAUUGACGCUGAUGGACGAAAGCGUGGGGAGCGAACAGGAUUAGAUACCCUGGUAGUCCACGCUGUAAACGAUGGAUACUAGCUGUUUGGAGCAAUCUGAGUGGCUAAGCGAAAGUGAUAAGUAUCCC